UACGUAGGGUGCGAGCGUUGUCCGGAAUUAUUGGGCGUAAAGGGCGCGUAGGCGGCUUAACAAGUCACUUGUGAAAUCUCCGGGCUUAACUCGGAACGGCCAAGUGAAACUGUCAAGCUAGAGUGCAGAAGGGGCAAUCGGAAUUCUUGGUGUAGCGGUGAAAUGCGUAGAUAUCAAGAGGAACACCUGAGGUGAAGACGGGUUGCUGGGCUGACACUGACGCUGAGGCGCGAAAGCCAGGGGAGCAAACGGG
rnacentral:rRNA from 1 species